rnacentral:rRNA from 1 species
GACGUAGGGUGCGAGCGUUGUCCGGAUUUAUUGGGCGUAAAGAGCUCGUAGGCGGCUCGUCGCGUCGACCGUGAAAACCCGCGGCUUAACUGCGGGCUUGCGGUUGAUACGGGCGGGCUAGAGUUCGGUAGGGGGAGCUGGAAAUUCCUGGUGUAGCGGUGAAAAUGCGCAGAUAUCAGGAGGAACACCGGUGGCGAAGGCGGGGUCUC